AGCAGCCGCGGUAAUUCCAGCUCCAAUAGCGUAUAUUAAAGUUGUUGCAGUUAAAAAGCUCGUAGUUGAAUUUCGGGAUUAGUACGUUGGUCGUGCCUUAGGUACGUACUGGUGUUACUGGUUCCUACCUUCUGACGAACCAUCAUGUCAUUAAUUUGGUGUGGCGGGGAAUCAGGACUGUUACUUUGAAAAAAUUAGAGUGUUUAAAGCAGGCUCGCGCUUGAAUACAUUAGCAUGGAAUAAUGAAAUAGGACGUUGACCCUAUUUUGUUGGUUUCUAGGAUUGACGUAAUGAUUAAUAGGGAUAGUUGGGGGCAUUAGUAUUCAAUUGUCAGAGGUGAAAUUCUUGGAUUUAUUGAAGACUAACUACUGCGAAAGCAUUUGCCAAGGAUGUUUUCAUUAAUCAAGAACGAAAGUUAGGGGAUCGAAGACGAUCAGAUACCGUCGUAGUCUUAACCAUAAACUAUGCCGACUAGGGAUCGGAUGAUGUUAAUUUUUUAAUGACUCAUUCGGCGCCUUACG
rnacentral:rRNA from 2 species